rnacentral:rRNA from 1 species
CCUACGGGAGGCUGCAGUGAGGAAUAUUGGUCAAUGGACGCAAGUCUGAACCAGCCAUGCCGCGUGCAGGAAGACGGCUCUAUGAGUUGUAAACUGCUUUUGUACGAGGGUAAACGCAUAUACGCGUAUCUGUCUGAAAGUAUCGUACGAACAAGCAUAGGCUAACUCCGUGCCAGCAGCCGCGGGAAUACGGAGGAUGCGAGCGUUAUCCGGAUUUAUUGGGUUUAAAGGGUGCGCCGGCGGAAGAUCAAGUCAGCGGUAAAAUUGAGAGGCUAAACCUCUUCGAGCCGUUGAAACUGGUUGUCGUGAGUGAGUGAGAAGUAUGCGGAAUGCGUGGUGUAGCGGUGAAAUGCAUAGAUAUCACGAAGAACUCCGAUUGCGAAGGCAGCAUACCGGCGCUCAACUGACGCUCAUGCACGAAAGUGUGGGUAUCGAACAGGAUUAGAUACCCGAGUAGUC